UCAUCAAUAACUAGCAUCAGCCCUGGCUCUAUUGGAUACAUGCCACGGGUCUCACCUAUAACCAAUCCCAUAAAUUUUGAAAUACUUAAUGAAGACGCUAUAUCAUCUUCAGGAAUAAAAACGGACAAGCUAUGCACAUUUUGUAAGAAAAAUGGUGAACGACAAAAGGUGUAUAACACCCAUACUGUUAAAGUAAAAGUCGGAAACAGGCAGAUAGUUACAUGUCCUGUCCUACGUUCUCAUGUAUGCACUGUGUGUGGAGGAACCGGUGACAAUGCCCAUACAGUGACAUACUGCCCCCUACUAUCUGACUCAAAUAAGAGACGGCCACCAUCCACCACAGUUACCUUGAAGUCGACCCGCAUGAAGAGCAAUGGUAAAAAGCGAU